CCUGCCCCUAGAGGCACUGCAGGUGUGGCUGCUGUGUGCAUGUGAGUCAGUAGGUGGUAGAGAGGAGAGGCUAUGACUAUGCUCAGUGUUCUGACCUAUGAAUAUCUGAAUGAUCAGUAUCCUAACAAC